UGUUCGAAAGGUUUUUUUUUUUUUUUUUCCUUCUUCUUCUAAUGACGUCAUCACAAAAAGAGUAUAAAAGGCGUCAAGAACGCGACGCUCAUUCUUGCACUCACCGCUGACAGCGAGAGCCACGUUACUCUGGUCCACCUGCUGCGCCGGCCGUACAACAGCGUUUAAAAGUGACAAGCGUCUAGUUGCACUUUGGGCGUGCUUCCAUCAGGCAAGCUCAAAAGUUUGCAGAAGCUAGCGUUAGCAGUUAACAUCUCCAACGACCACCAAAACGCAUUUAUCCGGCGUGCAACCAAACAUUUGAAGCAUUUAACGGUGGCAACGUCUGGACGCCAGCGCCGUUUGGCCGAAGGUGCAAACCCUCAAAACGAGCCCGUCAUGGCCGACUGACUUUGCAGGCCUGCAUCUGGAAUCGAGGGAACAGGGUCCAAAAUGGCCACCUUGCAGUCCUCGCAUGGCUUCAUGAGACACUUGCAGACCUGCGAGUUGUGGUUGGAGAGACGUCCGGUGCUGCCCUCCAUUCGUCACUGGUGGGACCAAAGGACCUAGUUUCUGUCGCAUGGUGAAGAUCUACAUGGUUUUAAUCCUGUGGAAUCAUCAACCUCUUGUCCUGGUUACUAUAAACUUGGCAUUGUUUAAAAGCACUUACCCGAUCUAUUUUUUAUGCCUCCCUCUUCCUGCAGAGCACCUUCCAGUGAGGAUGCAGUUGGAACAAAUGCUACCUGCUGGCCAAAGAUAAAAGCAUGCAGAGGUGUUCAUCCUGGAGAACUUUUACAACAUUUGAGGAACUCUGCCUGUGCACCACUCUACAGCAGAGGUGGCAAAUCCAGGUCCAGAACGUGAAAGUCCUGCCACAGUUUGUCUUCAGCCUCUGUGACCUAGUUCACCUGUGCUGCCAGAAGAGCCCUCUGCUGUGUGGAACACCAUCUGCUCGUAGUGGAAGCUGAGGACAAGAGUUAAGCCGCACAGACCUUUUGGUGUUUUUACUUACUCAGCUCUAAGGCAACCUGAGAAGAAGCAAAGAACAAAAUCUACUUCCUGAGUCAUGCAGCAAGGAACAAGAUUGGCUUCCUGGUCAUGCAGCUUACAAUUCUCGGUGCCAUAAACUCUACUUGCGCACUGGUCCAGGCAUGGAGUACCACUCGUCUCACUGGCCGACCACUCGUCCAUUCAACUUGUUACUUUGUUGUGAUUGGUUACUCUGCAAAAGAAAUAAAGCUUUAUUACAAAUAA